GCCACCUGAGCUCCUGGCCGGCCCCGCCCCGUUCUGACCACGCCCAGCCACGCCCCCAACCGCCCUCCCGGCCAUGGUCCCGCCCCCUACCAGGCUCCGCCUCCACAAGGUCCGGCCUUGACCCUUCACCUUGACCCAUCGCGGCAGCCUCAGCCCAGACCACGCCUACCUGGCUCCACCCUUCUCCAUGACCACGCCCCCGCCACGACUCCGCCAGGCCUGACCCUGCCCUAAUGGAGCCAGGUCCUUGGUCCGUUCCUGAACCUCUCCGCCCAGAGCGGGCCUGGCGUCCAGUGACCUCUCACCAUCAAAGAGAGUGAAGAAAGCCUCUCUCUCGUCCCUGAUGUCCAGACGGGCAGAAUGGCUCCUCCCAGCUGGGCUGAAUGCUGCUACCUCUGUGGCCCAAAGCAUCCUGGGCUGGUCCACAUGAGCUCCUCAAGGGCGGAGGUUGUGUCCUUUCUGGAUCUGUACCCCAGGGGGACACAGGGCCUGGGCUGAGCGGCCACUCGGUAGUGUGUGGAGAGUGGAUGGAUGGGUGUCUGCAGAGGU